rnacentral:rRNA from 1 species
CAGCCGCCGCGGGAAUACGUAGGGUGCGAGCGUUAAUCGGAAUUACUGGGCGUAAAGCGUGCGCAGGCGGUUGUGUAAGACAGGUGUGAAAUCCCCGGGCUUAACCUGGGAACUGCGCUUGUGACUGCACAGCUAGAGUAUGGCAGAGGGGGGUGGAAUUCCACGUGUAGCAGUGAAAUGCGUAGAGAUGUGGAGGAACACCGAUGGCGAAGGCAGCCCCCUGGGCCAAUACUGACGCUCAUGCACGAAAGCGUGGGGAGCAAACAGGAUUAGAUACCCGUGUAGUCCCUGUCUCUUAUAA